ensembl:misc_RNA 7SK 7SK RNA
UGAUUUGAUGGUUUGUGCCGAGAAGUCUGCUGUAAUUCUGAUGGGUGUUCCCUUGUAAGUGAUCUGUUUCUUGUCUUUGACGGCUUUUAAUAUUCUGUUCUUAUACUGGAUUUCCAUCCUCCCUCAACAAUCCAUGUGCGUCCCUCCCGAAGUUGUGCGCUCGGUCGAAGAGGACGACCACCCCUGAUAGAGGAGGUCCGUUCCUCCAUCAAGGGUGUACGAGUAGCUGCGCUCCCUUGCUAGAACCUCCAAACAAGCUCUCAUGGACAAAAGAUUUCUGUGGUGACCUCCAACAGUUUAGAAACUCUUAUCAAGACCCCUCCUGAGAAGUGGCUCUCGAAU